ACUCCUACGGGAGGCAGCAGUGGGGAAUAUUGCACAAUGGGCGCAAGCCUGAUGCAGCAACGCCGUGUGAGUGAAGAAGGUUUUCGGAUCGUAAAACUCUGUCCUAAGGGAAGAAACAAAUGACGGUACCUUAGGAGGAAGCCCCGGCUAACUACGUGCCAGCAGCCGCGGUAAUACGUAGGGGCAAGCGUUAUCCGGAAUCACUGGGGCGUAAAGGGUGCGUAGGCGGCUUAGCAAGCCAGGGGUGAAAGGCAUUGGCUCAACCAAUGUAAGCCUUUGGAACUGUUAAGCUUGAGUGCAGGAGAGGUAAGUGGAAUUCCUAGUGUAGAGGUGAAAUUCGUAGAUAUUAGGAGGAACACCAGUGGCGAAGGCGACUUACUGGACUGUAACUGACGCUGAUGCACGAAAGCGUGGGUAGCGAACAGGAUUAGAUACUCUGGUAGCGACUGA
rnacentral:rRNA from 1 species